ensembl:snoRNA SNORD18 Small nucleolar RNA SNORD18
CUGAAAUGAUGAAAUGCCACUUCGUUGGUCCGUGUUUCUGAAACACAUGAUCUUAGUGGAAGUUCUGAUUUA